GAUGAAGAACGUAGCGAAAUGCGAUACGUAAUGUGAAUUGCAGAAUUCAGUGAAUCAUCGAGUCUUUGAACGCACAUUGCGCCCCCUGGUAUUCCGGUGGGCAUGCCUGUUCGAGCGUCAUUAUCCUCCCUCAAACCCCGGGUUUGGUGUUGGACCCAAGUUGUGUGAACAACUGGUCUCAAAGACAAUGACGGCGUCCGUGGGACCCUCGGUGCAACGAGCUUUUAGGAGCACGCAUCGAGUUGCAAGGACCUUCCGGGCCGGUCUCCUUUACCAUUUUACAAGGUUGACCUCGGAUCAGGUAGGAAUACCCGCUGAACUUAAGCAUAUCAAUAAGCGGAGGA
rnacentral:misc_RNA from 1 species